UCCAGUAAAAUGUCCACCAAUGACCAGAGAUACUGCAGAAACAUAUGGCUUCUUUAUGAAUGUUAUGCACGGAGUUGCCAAAAAAAGAACCCACUCAGAAGAACACUGAACAAUUUUCAUAAAACACUGCCACCAUCUAUCAGAGGAUCUUAGAAACUGAAAAUCACAGAAGAAGGAUUCAUAUUCCAGUAGUUCAGAAGCCUAUCUGUGGAGCAAGCUAAUCAGUCCCCAA